rnacentral:rRNA from 1 species
GAGUUUGAUCUUGGCUCAGAUUGAACGCUGGCGGCAGGCCUAACACAUGCAAGUCGAGCGGAUGACGGGAGCUUGCUCCUUGAUUCAGCGGCGGACGGGUGAGUAAUGCCUAGGAAUCUGCCUGGUAGUGGGGGACAACGUUUCGAAAGGAACGCUAAUACCGCAUACGUCCUACGGGAGAAAGCAGGGGACCUUCGGGCCUUGCGCUAUCAGAUGAGCCUAGGUCGGAUUAGCUAGUUGGUGGGGUAAUGGCUCACCAAGGCGACGAUCCGUAACUGGUCUGAGAGGAUGAUCAGUCACACUGGAACUGAGACACGGUCCAGACUCCUACGGGAGGCAGCAGUGGGGAAUAUUGGACAAUGGGCGAAAGACCUGAUCCAGCCAUGCCGCGUGUGUGAAGAAGGUCUUCGGAUUGUAAAGCACUUUAAGUU